rnacentral:rRNA from 1 species
UUCGGAGAUGGCGAGCGUUGUUCGGAAUCACUGGGCGUAAAGCGCGCGUAGGCGGCCGUGCAAGUUGGGGGUGAAAUCCUGCGGCUCAACCGCAGAACUGCCUUCAAUACUGCUCGGCUAGAGGACGAAAGAGGGGAGUGGAACUCCUGGUGGAGCGGUGGAAUGCGUUGAUAUCAGGAGGAACGCCAGCGGCGAAAGCGGCUCCCUGGGUCGUUCCUGACGCUGAGUGUGCGAAAGCCAGGGGAGCGAACGGGAUUAGAUACCCCCGUA